rnacentral:ncRNA from 1 species
AGAUAAAAAUUUAUGAUUUUUGAAAUUUAUUUAUAAUUUAUUUACAUAUAAAUUUUAGUAUAAUUUAUUAAUUAUUUUAAUAAUAAUUAAUAAUUUUUGUAGUAAUUAUAAUUAAAAAUUUAAGAAAUUAAGAUUUAGUAAUAUUAAAAUUAUUAACUAAUUUUGUGCCAGCAGUUGCGGUUAUACAAAAAUUAAAAUAAAUUUUUUUAGUUUAUAAUAAAUAAUUUAAAAAUUAAAUUAAAUAUUAAAUUAUUAGGUGAAAUUUUAAUUUAAAUAAAAUUUAAAUUUAUUUAUGAUUUAAUAAAAUUUAUUAAUAAACUAGGAUUAGAUACCCUAUUAUUAAAAAUUUAAAUUAUUAAGCUAAAAUAGUAAAUAAUUAAUUAUUGAAACUUAAAUAAUUUGGCGGUAUUUUAGUUCAUUUAGAGGAAUCUGUUAAUUAAUUGAUAUUCCACGAAUAAAUUUACUUAAUUUAAUAUUUUGUAUAUCGUUGUUAAAAAAAUAUUUUUAAAUAAAAAUAAUAUUUUAAAAUUAAAAAUAAAAAUUAAUUCAGAUCAAGAUGCAGAUUAUAAUUAAGAUUAUAAUGGAUUACAAUAAAUUUAUUUAAAAUGGAUAAUAUUUUGAAAUUAAAAUAUUUAAAGGUGGAUUUAAAUGUAAUUUUAUUUAUUUUAAUAAAAUGAUUAAAAAUUAAAAUAUGUACAUAUUGCCCGUCACUUUCAUUUAAAAAUUGGAAUAAGUCGUAACAAAGUAGAGGUACUGGAAAGUGUUUCUAGAAAGAA